AUUCUAAAAUCACAAUAUUUUCUAAUUCUAUUCUAUUUUUAAUUAUUUUAUUAAAUUAAAUUUAAAUUAAUAUCUAAUUUAUAAAAAUAUUUUUAUUCUUAAUAAAUUUAUUAUUUUAAAUUAUAUUAAAAUUUAAUCAUUAUUAUAAAUAUACCUUUUUAUUCCAUUAAUUUGGUGCGGUAGAUAAAAAAAAAUAUGAG
rnacentral:lncRNA from 1 species